AUUCGCUGCAGCGCCUAUGGAUGUAAAGAAAGUUUCGUGAAAGGAGGACCUGUAACCUUUCAUAGUUUCCCUAAAGAUCCAGAAAGGCAAAAACAAUGGGAAGUACAACUGCGGCGGGAAAACUUUAGAGUAACCAAGUAUUCAAAGUUAUGUUCGAAACAUUUUACAUCAGACUGCUUCGAUAGAACAAAGUUUGGAGGCACCUGGUUAAAGGCCACAGCAAUUCCAACGUUAUUUAAUUUCCCUUCUCACUUACAAAAAAA